rnacentral:lncRNA from 1 species
ACUAAACAAAAAGUUACAAAGUGAACUUGCGGUGCCUCCCUGAAGGGAAAUGUAGUUAUAAUUCCAGCGCAGUGGCUCUCUCUCAGUGGCGUGAGACUUUCUACAACAGAAUGACUAAAUGCCCAGAAUGUCCCAUCACUGAACCAGGAGCCAUUAUCAAGAGGACUGUAAGGGAAGCCUCCCUCCAAUGAAUAUUCAGAAUGAUGUUUUCAUUUAUUAGGUUGAAGCAUUUAAGGGAAAUAGUUUAAGUUGGGUAUGCUUUAGAAAAUGAUCAUAUAGAGCAUUGGGUCUGGCAGCUCUGUAGAAAGAAGCAGCUGAAAGUGUUCCUCCCUCUGUUUGUAUGCUUCUGGAAGCCGUCAGAGGCCAUCUGUCAGACCAACCUGGCCUGUCUUCUGUGCUGUCACACAGGGCUGGGGCAUGUGGGCAGAAUUAAUGUGCCAGGCGAGAGGAAAGUAAGUACUGGUAUACAAAGACAAAAGGACUUCCAUCCUGUUUAUUCCAUUAAAUCUUCACAUUUAUUUAUUAGACAUGUGUCAUG